rnacentral:tRNA from 1 species
UGGGGUGUGGCUCAGUGGUGAGCACUUGCCUAGCAUGCUCGAGAGCCUGGGUUCCAGCCCCAGCACCAAAA